GCGCUCGCCUCGCCAGUCGAGCGAAUGGAUUAACGAGCCUUCGCUCUUAUGAAGUUAGCGGGGGACGGGUGAGUAACACGUGGGUAACCUGCCCAUAAGACUGGGAUAACUCCGGGAAACCGGGGCUAAUACCGGAUAACAUUUUGAACCGCAUGGUUCGAAAUUGAAAGGCGGCUUCGGCUGUCACUUAUGGAUGGACCCGCGUCGCAUUAGCUAGUUGGUGAGGUAACGGCUCACCAAGGCAACGAUGCGUAGCCGACCUGAGAGGGUGAUCGGCCACACUGGGACUGAGACACGGCCCAGACUCCUACGGGAGGCAGCAGUAGGGAAUCUUCCGCAAUGGACGAAAGUCUGACGGAGCAACGCCGCGUGAGUGAUGAAGGCUUUCGGGUCGUAAAACUCUGUUGUUAGGGAAGAACAAGUGCUAGUUGAAUAAGCUGGCACCUUGACGGUACCUAACCAGAAAGCCACGGUUAACUACGUGCCAGCAGCCGCGGUAAUACGUAGGUGGCAAGCGUUAUCCGGAAUUAUUGGGCGUAAAGCGCGCGCAGGUGGUUUCUUAAGUCUGAUGUGAAAGCCCACGGCUCAACCGUGGAGGGUCAUUGGAAACUGGGAGACUUGAGUGCAGAAGAGGAAAGUGGAAUUCCAUGUGUAGCGGUGAAAUGCGUAAAGAUAUGGAGGAACACCAGUGUCGAAGGC
rnacentral:rRNA from 1 species